rnacentral:rRNA from 1 species
GAUGAACGCUGGCGGCGUGCCUAAUACAUGCAAGUCGAGCGAACGGACGAGAAGCUUGCUUCUCUGAUGUUAGCGGCGGAGGGGUGAGUAACACGUGGAUAACCUACCUAUAAGACUGGGAUAACUUCGGGAAACCGGAGCUAAUACCGGAUAAUAUUUUGAACCGCAUGGUUCAAAAGUGAAAGACGGUCUUGCUGUCACUUAUAGAUGGAUCCGCGCUGCAUUAGCUAGUUGGUAAGGUAACGGCUUACCAAGGCAACGAUGCAUAGCCGACCUGAGAGGGUGAUGAGCCACACUGGAAAUGAGACACGGUCCAAACUCCGACGGAUGCAGCAGUAGGGCAUCUUCCGCAAUGGGCGAAAGCCUGACGGAGCAACGCCGCGUGAGUGAUGAAGGUCUUCUGAUCGUAAAACUCUGUUAUUAGGGAAUAACCUAUGUGUAAGUAACUGUGCACAUCUUGACGGUACCUAAUCAGAAAGCCACGGCUAACUACGUG